UCAUAAUGUAUGACAAAUAAUUGUCUAAACAUUAACAAUGAUAACUACUUGUUCAUUUUUAAGUGACAUUUCCAUUAAAUGUGGGUUUUAAAACAUGUUCCAAGGUCAAAUCAAUUCUCCCAAUGCAAAUCAUUGUAUAUGUAUUACAUAUUGGAUUAUAGAGAAAAAAUGUAUUAGUUGUGCCAAUGUAAAAGUCGAGUUGGGGGUCUGUAGAAUCUACGUCAUUUCAUGGAGCUCUGAAUAAUACGGAGUGCUGCUGGACCAGAGGGCUGGAGGGGGCAGGUAGCAGGGUUAGGUCCCAGAGGGCUGGAGGGGGCAGGUAGCAGGGUUAGGUCCCAGAGGACUGGAGGGGGCAGGUAGCAGGGUUAGGUCCCAGAGGACUGGAGGGGGCAGGUAGCAGGGUUAGGUCCCAGAGGACUGGAGGGGGCAGGUAGCAGGGUUAGGUCCCAGAGGACUGGAGGGGGCAGGUAGCAGGGUUAGGUCCCAGAGGACUGGAGGGGGCAGGUAGCAGGGUUAGGUCCCAGAGGACUGGAGGGGGCAGGUAGCAGGGUUAGGUCCCAGAGGACUGGAGGGGGCAGGUAGCAGGGUUAGGUCCCAGAGGACUGGAGGGGGCAGGUAGCAGGGUUAGGUCCCAGAGGACUGGAGGGGGCAGGUAGCAGGGUUAGGUCCCAGAGGACUGGAGGGGGCAGGUAGCAGGGUUAGGUCCCAGAGGACUGGAGGGGGCAGGUAGCAGGGUUAGGUCCCAGAGGACUGGAGGGGGCAGGUAGCAGGGUUAGGUCCCAGAGGACUGGAGGGGGCAGGUAGCAGGGUUAGGUCCCAGAGGACUGGAGGGGGCAGGUAGCAGGGUUAGGUCCCAGAGGACUGGAGGGGGCAGGUAGCUGGCCUAGGUCCCAGAGGGCUGGAGGGGUCAGGUAGCAGGGUUAGGUCCCAGAGGGCUGGAGGGGGCAGGUAGCAGGGUUAGGUGCCAGAGGUCUGGUUUUGGUGGAGGGACUAGAGGGGGCAGGUAGCAGGUUUAGGUCCCAGAGGGCUGGUUUUGGUGGAGGGACUGGAGGGGGCAGGUAGCAGGGUUAGGUCCCAGAGGGCUGGUUUUGGUGGAGGGACUGGAGGGGGCAGCCAGCAGGGUUAGGUCAGGGAGUGGUCAGGGAGUUGUCAGGGAGUGGUCAGGGGGAGAAGGGGCAGGUAGCAGGGUUAGGUCAGGGAGUGGUCAGGGGGUGGUCAGGGAGUGGUCAGGCAGUGGUCAGGGAGUGGUCAAGGAGUGGUCAGGGAGUUGUCAGGGAGUGGUCAGGCAGUGGUCAGGGAGUGGUCAGGGAGUGGUCAGGGAGUGGUCAGGGAGUGGUCAGGGAGUGGUCAGGCAGUGGUCAGGGAGUUGUCAGGGAGUGGUCAAGGAGUGGUCAGGGAGUUGUCAGGCAGUGGUCAGGGAGUGGUCAGGGAGUGGUCAGGCAGUGGUCAGGGAGUGGUCAGGCAGUGGUCAGGGAGUGGUCAGGGAGUGGUCAAGGAGUGGUCAGGGAGUGGUCAGGGAGUGGUCAAGGAGUGGUCAGGGAGUUGUCAGGGAGUGGUCAGGGAGUUGUCAGGGAGUGGUCAGGGAGUUGUCCCCAACAUCAUAUGAAUGAGUGAUGGUACAGAACGGCAUAGGCAAGAUGCAGUAGAUGGUAUCGAGUACAGUUUAUACAUAUGAGAUGAGUAAUGUAGGGUAUGUAAACAAAGUGGCAUAGUUUAAAGUGGCUAGUGAUACAUGUAUUACAUAAAGAUGCAGUAGAUGAUAUAGAGUACAGUAUUACACUCAACUGAACGACUUGAUUAGUGUAGUGUUAGCUAGCUACAUAGUUGUCUUUGCUGUCUUCGUAUCCAAGAUAAUUGUGUAGUUUAGAGUGUGUAGUCUUAGAGCGAUUAUCUUAAUUUACCGAGGUUAGCUAGCCAGCUAUUUGUCGUCCUUAACGUAGGAGACACUGCUAGCUAGCCAACAGCUAGCCAACGUCUACCGAAUAGAACUUCCGCACUCAACAACCCGGUCGCAUUCCGCUUCGCUCCACAGGUAGUAUCACAUUUUCAUUUCAUUUCAUUACAGCACAACGGUUUGAUUUGUUUGAUCGUAGCUAGCUACAUAGCUAGCUACAUAGCCGUCUUUGUAUCAAAGAUAAUUGUGUAGUCUAGAGCGAUUUUCUAGGCUAGCUAGCCAGCUAUUGUCGUUCUUUUAACGCAACGUAACGUAAUCAACACUCCUAGCUAGCCAGCUACCCCCCGAAUAGCAGCACUGUAGAAACUAUUACACUCAACGGAACGACUUGAUUAGUGUAGUGUCAACAACGCAGCCACUGCCAGCUAGCCUACAAAGUCAACAACGCAGCCACUGCCAGCUAGCCUACUUCAGCAGUACUGUAUCAUUUUAAUAAUUUUAGUCAAUAAGAUUCUUGCUACUUAAGCUUAACUUUCUGAACAUUCGAGACGUGUAGUCCACUUGUCAUUCCAAUCUCCUUGCAUUAGCGUAGCCUCUUCUGUAGCCUGUCAACUAUGUGUCUGUCUAUCCCUGUUCUCUCCUCUCUGCACAGACCAUACAAACGCUCCACACCGCGUGGCCGCGGCCACCCUAAUCUGGUGGUCCCAGCGCGCACGACCCACGUGGAGUUCCAGGUCUCCGGUAGCCUCUGGAACUGCCGAUCUGCGGCCAACAAGGCAGAGUUCAUCUCAGCCUAUGCCUCCCUCCAGUCCCUCGACUUCUUGGCACUGAUGGAAACAUGGAUCACCACAGAUAACACUGCUCAUCCUACUGCUCUCUCUUCGUCCGCCCACGUGUUCUCGCACACCCCGAGAGCUUCUGGUCAGCGGGGUGGUGGCACCGGGAUCCUCAUCUCUCCCAAGUGGUCAUUCUCUCUUUCUCCCCUUACCCAUCUGUCUAUCGCCUCCUUUGAAUUCCAUGCUGUCACAGUUACCAGCCCUUUCAAGCUUAACAUCCUUAUCAUUUA